GACGAACGCUGGCGGCGUGCUUAACACAUGCAAGUCGAACGGAAAGGCCCUGCUUUUGUGGGGUGCUCGAGUGGCGAACGGGGGAGUAACACGUGAGUAACCUGCCCUUGACUUUGGGGUAACUUCAGGAAACUGGGGCUAAUACCGGAUAGGAGCUCCUGCUGCAUGGUGGGGGUUGGAAAUUUUCGGCGGUUGGGGAUGGACGCGCGGCUUAUCAGCUUGUUGGUGGGGUAGGUGCUUACCAAGGCUUUGACGGGUCGGCGGCCUGAGAGGGUGACCGGCCACAUUGGGACUGAGAUACGGCCCAGACUCCUACGGGAGGCAGUAGGGGGGAAUAUUGCACAAUGGGCGGAAGCCUGAUGCAGAAACGCCGCGUGCGGGAUGACGGCCUUCGGGUUGUAAACCGCUUUCGCCUGUGACGAAGCGUGAGUGACGGUAAUGGGUAAAGAAGCACCGGCUAACUACGUG
rnacentral:rRNA from 1 species